AAUGGUGAGAAGUUGGCCUCAAGAGAGGCCUGUGAAAAUUGGUUCUCCGAGUUUUUUGGCAAUAGGGACGCCGUCUUCUACGGGGUAUAAUGAGAUUGGCAUCACGUUGGCAACAAGUUUACGAACAAAAUCGGACAAAUGUACACAAAGUUAUCAUCUUUUGAAAAAUCAAUAAAAACCCGAACGAACUUUUUACUUUACCUAAUAUUAUAUGGCAAUAGCACAUUUGUUUUCAGAAAUAGUAGAUUUGUGCACGUUGUCACACAUGCAAAAAAAAACAAGCAAUAAUUCGUUUGUGGACCGCUUUCUUCGAGGUGUCCUUAGAAUAAAAAGCUUGCACGGACGGAUGGACAGACAGACACCCAGAUUUCAACUCGUCUCUUCACCCUGAUCAUUUAUAUAUAUAUAACCCUAUAUCUAACUCGAUUAGUUUUAGAUGAUACAAACAACCGUUAGGCUAUUAUACUCUGUAGCAACAAGUUGCGAGAGUAUAAAAAGAAUUCAAUUAACGUAUUUCAUCGGUUCGACGGGUGGUAGAAAACGCUUUUGGACAUUUAAAGGCCCGCUUUAGACGCAUUGGUUGAGGUCUGGAAAUCAGUAUAAAAAACGUUAAGAUAUUUAUAAAGGCAUUGGAUUGGACAAUUAAUCACCGAAAAUAGCGCAAGGCAGCCAUGCAAAGAUAGAAAUGACUGCAGCAGUGGAAUAGCCAUCAGACAAGCAAUUAUGACAUCUUGUUUACAAAGUAUGUAUUCUUAACAUUUUCAUUCACAGAACAUACACAUUUAAGUACUUUGGUUUAGUAUUUUAGUU